rnacentral:rRNA from 1 species
GACGAACGCUGGCGGCGUGCUUAACACAUGCAAGUCGAACGGAAAGGCCCUUCGGGGUGUGGAGUAAAGUGGCGCACGGGUGAGUAACACGUGGGUAACCUGCCAUUGGGAUCGGGAUAACUGGCCGAAAGGCCCGCUAAUACCGGAUAAGACCACGGAGACAAAGGUUUCUGAGGUAAAAGUCGGCCUCUCAUAGAAGCCGGCGCCUGAUGAUGGGCCCGCGGACCAUUAGCUAGUUGGUAAGGUAACGGCUUACCAAGGCAGAGAUGGUUAGCUGGUCUGAGAGGAUGAUCAGCCACACUGGAACUGAGAUACGGUCCAGACUCCUACGGGAGGCAGCAGUGAGGAAUAUUGCGCAAUGGAGGAAACUCUGACGCAGCAACGCCGCGUGAGUGAAGAAGGCUUUCGGGUUGUAAAGCUCUGUCAGGUGGGAAGAAACCUUUAUAGUUGAAUAGGCUAUAAACUGACGGUACCACCAAAGGAAGCACCGGCUAACUCCGUGCCAGCAGCCGCCGUAAUAC